GCGAGGGUGUCGGAGUUUGGUCAAACGACUACGGUUGAGGGCCGUAGGCCUUAGUGGCUGCGCGGGUUCGAAUCCCGUCCCUCGCA
rnacentral:tRNA from 1 species